GGAAGAGUGGCAGAGCGGUUGAAUGCACUGGUCUUGAAAACCAGCGAGGAUGCAAGUCCUCCGUGAGUUCGAAUCUCACCUCUUCCGCCA
rnacentral:tRNA from 1 species